AGUUAGCUUAGCUUAGUCAGCUAGUCAACCACAUGGGGUCAUAGCCAUGGGAAUCAUACUGGUUUAGAAUAGGCUGUUAAAUAUACGUUUUUGUAAAAUUUUACUUGAGUAGAGAGGCAACGGCGAAAAUCAGGGUGUAACUCAAGAACGAUGACAUUGGUUGUUACAAAAAUAGAGAGUACAGUAAGUUGGAUUGAGUUCCUCUGAUCGUCAGGACACAUUCUUCCAUAGAGAAGAGGUAGCCAGGAAUGACCUCCAGGCUCUGAUGAAUGGCUUUAGGAUGGUAAACCAUGACUGCCACUGAAGCAGGACCUUGGAAAACAUCAAUUCUCUAACUAAACUCUUUGUUCAAAUGGUAAUAUCAUGAAAAUAUAAAGUUAUUAAUAGUAAAAUGUUUCUUUUCCAUCUACAGCUCCCAAUUGGAGAACAGUGCUUCGUGCCACAUCUAAUCUCAAAGCCACAUGAUGUAUGUCAAAGUAAUACAACUCAAUUUUGUUUUGUUCUGAACUCUUCAAAAUAAAACUUGUGUGGACAAACAAAAA